AAAUAUAGCUGCACAAAUUGCUUCCACUAUCGCGUUGUACAAUAAAAAGUUACCGAAAAGUUAACAACAACCUUUAAUAAACAUCUGAACAUCGUUUACACUUGCUUUAAGAUAUCGAUUUUGUAAUCUCUUCUCAAGCGCCUGCCGACGAGAUUACACAUGUCGCGCUUCCAUGAGUUCGGUGAACACAUUCAACGGCCGAAUGUCAUUACGUGUGAAUGUCAUUCACUAUGCCCGUGUAGCAGCAACAAAAAUGUCAUUAACACCUAAUGUCAUUCGCCGCGAAUGACAUUACACGUGCCGUGUGACAGGGGUAUUACACUGUUAAUUCCUUCAA
rnacentral:lncRNA from 1 species